rnacentral:lncRNA from 1 species
GUCCCAAUGUAAGAAGCCUUGGUUGCUGCCAUUCCUGCCCUGCAGGGUGAGGCUGCACCAUACCAGAGCCUGUAGCCCGUGCACUGUGGCAUGGCUCCCAGCUUCUCCAGAACAGACACAUCUCUACCCACCUACGCUGCAGGCUGUGGAAGUCUGGAAGCCAGGAUGCCAGACUCAAAUCUUCCCCUCCACCACCCUGACCACUUGGUAAGCUUGGGAAAUAAAGGCUAAGGGUCCAAAAUAAGGGAUUUCUGGUUCUUUGCUGCAGGCCAAGGAGCUCUCCACCUCAGUCUGGCAUUUAUUGUAGCCACUGGGUUGGC